AUGAAUAUACUGCUGUGUAUUGAAGUUCCUCUUGUUUUGCAUAGAAAUAUACUGAACAACAUACAAAGCAUAAUAUAUAAAAUACUACCAGAGUUUUUUCUUUGAAAGAAGCCCCUUAUGUCCAUUCUUGUAUAUCAGUACAUUACUGAAACCGAUUUAUUUAGCCGUGGAGGGUAACAACUGAAAAUAUGAAAUAAACAUACAUGUAAGCUAAGACUCUCUCUAAAAAAAAAAACAGCAUUGUUGUUGUUCGGCUUUUCAUUUCGCCAUUUGUUGAUUCACUUGAAGUAACGUAAUGUGGGUCAAGUGAUCAGUUUGAUAUCAAUCUUUCGUGAUAAACCGUCAUAUUUACAUCAUUUGUACAGUACGAAUGAUUUGCUUUGGUACCUGGUCGAACUUCAGCUCUCCUCUGUCUGCCUGUCUCCGUUUCUCUCAGCGCACUCGCAGAGAAGGGUCUGGCUGCAGCCACUGGGGAGCGCCAUAUUGGGACCUCCACAGUAACCGGAAACACGUGACCUCCACAGUAACCGGAAACACGUGACCUCCACAGUAGGCGGAAAUACGUUCCUGCAUGGACUUUUUUUUCUUUUUUUUUUUGUCUCGUUCCUGCAUGGAUCAUUACCAUUGCAAAUUGAUCGUAAAGAUGCAAAUAUCAAAUUGGAAUUCUGCCACCAAGCCAGAAUUGCAGGAAUGCACCACGUGUUGGCUGUUUCACUGCCCUCUGUGCCCCACUCUCAGCCCUACUGUCAGGGCAAAGAUUGAGGAGCAUAUAAAUGGACACAUUAAAAAUGCUUUGCCUUCAAAGACAAAUGAUAUGCCGGUGCACUUUCACUGCCCUGUCUGUAACAUGACAGUCAUACAGCGUGGGGAUAUGGCAAGGCAAUUAUUGUCAUGUCAGCGUUUAGGACUGCUCCCCACUGAACUCUCCGUGGAGCCCCGUCUCCCUCUCGUUGUCUUGUCUUCAGCAUCUGCAACAUUCUGAAUCUUCAGUAGAACAUUCAUGUGUUCUACCCUCUGUGCUAAAUGAAACUGUGGCUUGUGGAAAGUCCAUGAAAAUCAAAUGCCCUCAGUGUGAUCUUAGUCUUCUUACAAAAACAACUUUAAGGCUCACAUGAUGAGGAGGCAUUCAAACAGAUCAAUAGAUGUUUGCUGGCCUGUCAUCUGCAGUGUUUUUGUGUAGAGGGACUUCUUCCUCUUUGUUUUUCAGUUUGCAGAGGACAUGGAGCUCUUUUUAAAAGCAUGUGCUGACAAGCAGGGACUAUGGGUCAAUGCGACGUUUGACAUUUAAUGGACAGAUGAAGGCCCUGCUGUUUGUGUUUUUUAUGUGUUAUUUGUUUUUCAGUGUACAGAAUUCCAGUUAAACUUAUUAUAAAAUGUUGUUCACUUGUUUUGUGUCCAUACUUAUAGUCAAAAAUUUAAGUGUAAAUUUAACAGCAUUGUUUAUACUUGUAACUUUAGAGUAAAAAGCUGAUUGUUGAUAUUAACAUUAAUGUAUUACCCGGUAAUCAAUAAUAUUGUUACACAUUUUACGCAUUAACCCUCUGGGCUCUGUGCUGGCCAUUUGUGGCCACUUCACUUCUUCUUGUUUGACUACUACACUGCAGUGGACCAAAAGAAUGACACAGGUUUGAUCUUAAGGAUCUAAUAGUUGUGUGUGUUUGUGCAUGACAUUGCAAUGAAAAUAUGUAUUUGCAAGAUAGACUGGAAUAAAUUAUGACGCAUCAAAUAUCA